rnacentral:tRNA from 1 species
GCCGGGAUGGCGAAAUCUGGCAGACGCGGUGGACUCAAAAUCCAUUGGGGGCAACUCCGUGUGGGUUCGAAUCCCACUCCCGGCACCA